rnacentral:rRNA from 1 species
AUGCAAAAGCCUCAGUAUCUGGAUGCGGCUUAUGAGCUUGCCUUACUUCAUGAGGAGUUGAGUGAAUCAUGUGCUUCUGUACCUGCUCCUCAGUACACCAGAAAAUACAGCUCCACAACUCUAGUUUCUUCUGUUAAAACAAUUGUUUCUGAUAAUGUUGUUGUUUCUGUCUCGUCUAAGUCUCCUUCACAUGAUGAUAAAUGGGAAACUCUUAGAGCAUUUAGGAAAUCCAAGGGUUUAUGUUUUAUUUGUGGUGAGAAACGGUCCAAAGAUCUCCAGUGUAAGAGCUCAAUGCAGUUGCAUUUUGUCCAGGAACUUAUUGAUCAUCUGGAUUCAGUUUCUUCUGUUUCUUGUGGAGAAGAUGGGUACGUUUCUGAAGGGCAUGUUAUGCCUAUCUCUGUAUCAGCUUUAGGCACAACAAUUUCUACUCAUACUGUCCAAUUGUUGGUGGAUUCUGGCAGUACUAAUUCCUUCCUAGAUGUUUCUCUACAGUCUGAAUUACAGGGUGUGUUACCAGUCUUCGCUUCUGCAGUUCGAGUAGCUGGUGGUACUCAGCUAACCUACAAGGCACAGUUAAAAAAUUGUAAGUGGACCUCUGCUACUAUAGAGUUUCAGACGGAUUUCAAGUUUUUACCCUUGGGUGUCUAUGGUGGUGCAUUGGGUGUGGAUUGGUUAAGUUUGCACAGUCCCAUGCAAAUAGAGUGGUCUAAAAAGUGGAUGUCCUUUAUGUAUCUGAAUGAAUUGGUCCCGCUACAAGGUCUGCUACCCCAUGAUAGUACAUUUGUUGUUGUGUUCCUGUCAGCACUUAUUUCUCCAGAUGCAACUGAUCCAGUUCUAGCAGAAGUUCAGGCAGUAUUGGAUCAAUUUGAGGUUCUGUUUUAUGUUCCUGAUGGAUUACCUCCUAGAAGAUAUUGCGAUCAUCAAAUUCCUCUGAUCCAUGACGCAAGACCAGUCACUGUGAGACUUUAUAGACUGGCUCCUCAUCUUAACACUGAACUGGAAAACCAGGUUGCUGAAUUAUUGGAGCAAGGGCGGAUUAGAGUUAGCACAAGUGCAUUUUCAUCUCCAGUCUUAUUAGUCAACAAGAAGGAUGGUACUUGA